GCUGUGUCCUGUGUAUUGCACAUCCACUGUGGCUCCUCUUCCCCCAGAAAUAAUGUUUUGAGAAACAAAUAAUCAGGAAACAGAAUCAUUCUGCAGCAGGCACUACAGUUCUGUGCUAUACAGGCACCUGAGGUGCAGAACUGAUUAAAGCUUGUGAGCUCAGGUUACCCUCGAAGCUUGGCGCCGUUUGCAUUUUCUUCUUUCAGAGAAAGAAAUUCAGAAGAAGAGUGACGGAGCAAACUUGUAGCAGAGCUGAAGAAAGAAAGGAAUAAUCUGAGGAUGAAAGAGGAGAAAUUAAAACCGGAAAGGUGACGCUGACUUGUAG
rnacentral:lncRNA from 1 species